GAUGAACGCUGGCGGCGUGCCUAACACAUGCAAGUCGAGCGGACAGACGAGGCUCUUGCUUGGCUGACGUGAGCGGCGGGCGGGUGAGUAACACGAGUAUACCCGACCUAUAAGACUGAGAUCACUACGGGAAAGCGGAUAUAACAUCGGAUAAGCUAUUGAACCGCGGGGUUCUUUAGAGAAUGACGGUUUUGCUGUCACUAAUAGAUGGUUCCGGGCCGCAUUAGCUAGUUGGUAGGGUAACGGCCUACCAAGGCUACGAUGCGUAGCCGACCUGAGAGGGUGAUAGGCCACACUGGAACGGAGACACGGUCCAGACUCCUACGGGAGGCAGCAGUAGGGAAUCUUCGGCAGUGGGCGAAAGCUUGACGGAGCGAGGCCGCGUGUGUGAUGAAGGUCUUCGGAUCGUAAAGCACUGUUAUUGGGGAAGAACCGAUGUGGAAUUAGACAUGGCCGUCUUGACGGUACCUAGUCAAAAAGCCCCGGCUAACUACGUG
rnacentral:rRNA from 1 species